GCAUCUGCCCAUUUUAAUGCAGCUCAGAACUGCCACACCCUUAAAAUGGUGAGGCACUGUCAAAUAAGAUGAACUUUACUUUUCCUCAGUGGAAUAUUAGUUGCACAUCUAUAUUUUAUUAAGUUGGACCCGAUGGAUGAAUAGACUUACACUAUGAUAUCCUUAGGCAUUCAGGAAUUCAAGAUUUUCAAGUAUGAAUUAAUUCACUGAAUGAGUUAAUCUCUUCCUUUGUAGUCUACAUUAGGAAUAAAUUCCAGUUGGUUUGUUUUUCUCGCUAGGCUACUGCAGACUGCACUUUUUCCACUUUAAAUAUGUUCCUACAUUUUUACAAAAAUACAAUCAGGAAAUUCUUCCUUUUUGUUAGUAACAAUGGAUUCUUCUCAUAGAGAAAAUAAGUAUUUUUAUAAAGUCCAUGAACCUGAAGACCAGUUUAGUAAAUUCACUAUAUGAAACUCUGUUUUCUGACAUGGUUUCUCUGGAUAAUAUUUAUUUUUCUGCAUUCUGCCCUGCUUGUAUGCUAUAAGAAUAGGGUAGUAUCUCUUUAAAUACUUUGGCUGUUGUAAAGAUUGCAAGGAUCAUGGCAUAGGUCUAGUAGUUGGUGAGCUCAUUUGCCUCCCAGCUUGUACCUCCCCCCAGUGUCUGUAUCCCGUCUAUCUGAUGCACGAAGUGGCUUUUCUCCCACUUUCUGACCUCAAGAACCAGCUCUGCUUGAUCACCAAAUUACUUCUGAGGUAGGGAGAGAGGCAGCUGCAUGAUAGCUAAGAACCAUACUGCGGGGCAGGAGCUGUGCUGCUGGCAGAUAGAAACCUGCAGCUGAUCUGUGUGUUUCCACUCACUCAGGCAACGUACUGCUGAGAGAAGAGACCUGCGAGGUGCUGUAAGAUGGGGAAAAUCCAACCGGCUGAAGGAAGGAAAAAAAAAAAAAAAGAAA